GAUCCCUUGGCCAAAUGGUAAGGCGUCCGAUUCCAGCUCUUAAGCGCGCAUUCGCGCCCUCGCGCUUCCGGAAGAUUAUCUGUUCGAUUCAGGUAGGGAUCA